AGAAACUGAGAUCUGAGAGGGGAUGGAGCUGGAGCCAUGCCUCUUGCCUUCUAGUUUGACUUUCUUCAUUCCCUCGAAUUUCCAGGGACAUUUAUCUCCUCUUGCCUUCCUCUCGGGAAGACUUGUCCUGCUGCUCCAGCCACAGUUGCCUGCGUUGGAAGCCAGGGAGCAUUUUUAUGUUUCCCGACCUCUUCCCAUCUUGGGCAGUUUCUCCUCCCAGAAGUUUUCCUUGACCUCGUCCUACCCGGGAUAGCUCAUGUACCUGUAGGGACGCAUGAAACCUGCCAGCUUGUGUCUCAGAGGGCUUGGCUCACGGGUCCUAAAGCUGUGGGGGAAGCCGCAGCCUUGGAAGUGGGAUGAC